CCCAAAGUCAUCUUCUUCUUCUUCCCCUAAAGGGGAUGAACCAAAGUCUUCCCCUAAAGGGGAAGAGCACUAAAGGGGAAGAUGACUUUGGGGUUCCCUUUAGAAGAUGACUUUGGGGUUCCCUUUAGGGGAAGAACUAAAGGGGAUGGGGAACAAAAAGGGUUUCCAAAGAAGGGAACCUUUGGGUUCCGUCCCCUUUGGGGAACCGAAGGGGGGGNUUGUUGUCCCUACUUUGGUUUUCGUAAGGGAAUGACUUCCCCUUCUUGUUCUUCUUCUUCUUCCCCUAAAGGGGAAGAACCCCUUCUUCCCCUAAAGGGGACUUCUUCCCCUAAAGGGGAAGAACUAAAGGGGAACUAAAGUUCAUCCCCGAAGGGGAACAUCCCCUAAAGGGUUGUCCCCUUUAGUGUUCGUCCCCUUUAGGGGAACCGAAGGUGUGUUCCCCUUCUUCCCCUAAAGGGGACGGAGUCCCCUAAAGGGGAAGAAGGGGUGUUCCCCUUCUUCCCCUAAAGGGGACGGAGACGAAGGGGUUCCCCUUUGGGGAAGAAAACGAAGGGGUUCAUCCCCUUCGUUAUCACCAAAGGGGAAGACGAAGGGGUUCCCCUUUGGGGAAGACGAAGAAGAUGAACCAAAGGCUUCCCCUUUAGGGGAUGAUAUCCCCUAAAGGGGAACUUUUGUGUUCUUCUUCUUCUUCGUCUUCUUUAGUUCCCCUAAAGGGGAUGAACCAAAGUCUCUUCUUCUUCCCCUUUAGGGGACUCCGUCCCCUUUAGUUCCCCUAAAGGGGAUGAAGAAGUGCUCGUCCCCUUUAGGGGAACUAAAGGGGAUGAACCGAAGGG
rnacentral:lncRNA from 1 species